rnacentral:rRNA from 1 species
AAAGCCCUUGCCUCAUUGAUGAUGCUCAUAUCAUGGGAGGUUUGGUCUGAGAGAAACACUAGAGUCUUCCGCAAUGUGGCGGUUCCAUCGGUGAUCAUCAUCAACAAGAUCAAGCAUGAGGUGUCGCUUUGGGCUUUGGCGGGUGCCAAGCACUUGAGUAUUGUAAUGCCGCGAGAGUUAUUUUCCUUCAUCUGUUUCUUGCGGCUUAUCUCUAACCUUUCUUCCUCAAUCAAUGAAAUGGCAAGUCUUUUGCCGCAUUAA